GAGUUUGSUCCUGGCUCUGAAUGGUCGCUUGCGGCSGGCCUUAUACAUGCAAGUCGAACGGUAAGCGUCCCUUCGGGGGCGCGGGGGUGGCGGGCGGGUGCGCCACGGUUUGCCACCCGCCCCCGACCGGCGGRCCGACGGUGGGNACGCCGGAUUAUACGACAUGCGCCCGGCUCGGGGCCUCCCGGGUCGGGCCAAAGCGGAGACGCGGUUGGGGACGGGCAUGCGUCCCCUUUGCUAGUUGGGGGGGCGACGGCCCCCCCAGGCUACGAUGGGUAGGGGAUCUGAGAGGGCGGUCCCCCCCCCUGGUACUGAGACACGGACCCGACUCCUGCGGGGGGCAGCAGUACGGGAUAUUGGGCCAUGGGCGGCAGCUGACCCCGCCCUGCCGCGUGAGGGAAGUAGGCCCUCCGGGUCGUGAACCUCUUUUAUUCGGGGACCAGGGCGUCCCCGGGAUGGGCGUUUGAGGGUACCGCAGGAAUUAGCGUCGGCUUACUCCGUGCCCGCCGCCGCGGUAAUACGGAGGGCGCGAGCGUUUUCCGGAUUCCUUGGGUUUAAAGGGUGCGCAGGCGGCUCGUCAAGUCAGCGGUGAAAGCCCGGGGCCCAACCCCGGAAGUGCCGUUGAUACUGUCGGGCUGGAAUGCGGUCGGGGCGGGCGGAACGUGGCGUGUAGCGGUGAAAUGCGUAGAUAUGCCACAGAACGCCGUUCGCGGAGGCGGCUCGCCAGGCCUGCAUUGACGCUCGGGCACGAAAGCGUGGGGAUCGAACAGGAUUAGAUACCCUGGUAGUCCACGCCGUAAACGAUGGGCGCUCGUCGUCGGCGACAGAAUGCCGGCGGCCAAGCGAAAGCGAUAAGCGCCCCACCUGGGGGAGUACGGUCGCAAGGCUGAAACUCAAAGGAAUUGACGGGGGCCCGCACAAGCGGGGGAGCAGGGGGAUAAACUCGAGGAAACGCGAGGAACCUAACCCGGGCUGGAACGGUCGGGGAACGACCGGGAGACCGGAAGGCCAGCAAGGGCCGCGACAGAGGUGCGGCAGGGUGGCCGCCAGCUCGGGCCGGGAGGGGGCGGGGCAAGCCCCAAAACGAGCGCAACCCCGGCGUCCAGUGGCCAGCAACCCGGGGGGGCACUCGGGACGGACGGCCCGCGCAAGCGGAGAGGAAGGCGGGGAGGACGUCAAAACAGCACGGCCCUUACGCCCGGGGCGACACACGGGCAACAAGGGGCGGCACAGAGGGGGGCCACGCGGCGACGCGGAGCGGAUCCCGAAAGCCGUUCACAGGCCGGAUCGGGGGCGGCAACCCGCCCCCGGGAAGCGGGAAUCGCAAGAAACCGCGCAUCAGCCAGGGCUCGGUGAAAACGUUCCCGGUCUUUGAACACACCGCCCGUUAAUCUAGGGGAGCCGCGGGCGCCUGAAGUCGGGGGGGACCCGCCUAGGGCGAACGGGGUGACGGGGGCAAAGCCGAAACAAGGAAACC
rnacentral:rRNA from 1 species